rnacentral:rRNA from 1 species
CAGUAGCCACGGUAAUACGAAGGGUGCAAGCGUUAAUCGGAAUUACUGGGCGUAAAGCGUGCGUAGGCGGUGAGUUAAGUCUGCUGUGAAAUCCCCGGGCUCAACCUGGGAAUGGCAAUGGAUACUGGCAAGCUAGAGUGUGUCAGAGGAUGGUGGAAUUCCCGGUGUAGCGGUGAAAUGCGUAGAGAUCUGGAGGAAUACCGGUGGCGAAGGCGGCCCCCUGUACAAAGACUGACGCUCAGGUGCGAAAGCGUGGGGAGCAAACAGGAUUAGAUACCCGCGUAGUCCCUGUCUCUUAUAC